GACGAACGCUGGCGGCGUGCUUAACACAUGCAAGUCGAACGGAAAGGCCCUGCUUUUGUGGGGUGCUCGAGUGGCGAACGGGUGAGUAACACGUGAGUAACCUGCCCUUGACUUUGGGAUAACUUCAGGAAACUGGGGCUAAUACCGGAUAGGAGCUCCUGCUGCAUGGUGGGGGUUGGAAAGUUUCGGCGGUUGGGGAUGGACUCGCGGCUUAUCAGCUUGUUGGUGGGGUAGUGGCUUACCAAGGCUUUGACGGGUAGCCGGCCUGAGAGGGUGACCGGCAACAUUGGGACGGGGAUACGGCCAAGACUCCUCCGGGAGGCAGAGGUGGGAAAUAUUGACCAAUGGGCGGAAGCCGAAUGCAGCAACGCCGCGUGCGGGAUGACGGCCUUAGGGUGGUAAACCGCUUUCGCCUGUGACGAAGCGUAAGUGACGUAAAUGGUUAAAAAAGAACCGGCUAACAACGUG
rnacentral:rRNA from 1 species